rnacentral:lncRNA from 1 species
GGAAGAAGGAAAUUAAAGGAAAGAAGUAGGCCAGCUGGCAAGAUAAAAAGCAAAUAAAUUUAAAAAAAUACUGCAUUAUAUUGCAAAAAUGUUGCACAAUGUGAAGUAGCUGAAUAUAAACUAAAUAUAAUAAUUGCUUUAAAGAUAAAACUCAACACUGUUACUUACCCAUACAGAGUGAGAGUCUCGUCCUAAUUUUCUGCAGUCAACUUUUCUUCACUCAUUUAAGUUUCUCACUUGAAAUGGUUAUCAUUCUUGUUUUACCCUAGGAGAAUCCUUCACACUUUUGCUUCUCAUCUUUCUUAUUGACAACAAAGUAGAUACUAUAAGCUUAAAGAACUGUUGUGCACCAGUAGACCGUAAAUUAAUAACUCUGAUAAACAAGGAAAGAAAGCACUGCACCAGAAAUCUGAUACAUCAAACAAAGAAAAAAUGGCAAGAAGUAAAGAAAAGCAACCACAGACUUUCUCUGAAAUAAAUUUGUUUUCUCCAAAGCGCAUCAUUAAUUUGUAGACAGGAGUUGGAGAAGUCAUUUCUAAUAAGUAGGACCACUCAUCCCAAGCAAGCUUCUGAAGAAUUUCCAUAAAUAAACUUUCUACAUAUGUAUGAACUCCUGGGCCCAAUGUGUUUACAAUACAUCAGGAUGACUCCAGUGCAUACUAAGGUGAUAAUAAAGAUGUUUGUUGUAUUUGAAAGCAUAGUUUUUCCAUGGGCAAAAAUUAGCACACCAUUUGUAUUGUGUGACAGGAAAAGACCGAAUACUUUUCAUCAAGUCUGUAGCCAGUUACAAGAAGAAAGAAGGUUUUGAAGGAGGUAAUUAUAACUCAUAAACAAUUUCAGAUAUAGAAAAGUUUAAUCAGCUGAACAGACUUUCUAACACAUAGUUCAUUAAUGAAAGGCUUUUGUAAGAAGAUACAAUCUGCAACAUGCAGUUAAGUCUUUUGUUGACUAAGUACCUUUGUCACUGAUCUUCCCCAUGUUUCAACUUGUUGUCCUUUGUAUUUUUUUUAAGCCACCAUAAAAUGCUGGUAAGUUUUUUUUUUAGAUACUGUGUUAAAAGUCACUGCUUUUAACACAGCUAAUAACUGUUAGAAAAACUUGACACCAGAUCCAGCCUAUAUAUAGUGCUUGGAAAUCACAUCCUCUUGUUUUCUUAAUUUUGGAUGAAGCACAUAAAAAUUAAGCUUUAAAUGGAAAUACAUUUUCAAAUUCAAAUGGAAAAGAAGCUUAUGUCAUUCUGUAAUCACUUCUUAGUCUGUAUGUUAUUACUGUUGUUGAAAUAGAUGGCGAGAAUACAACUAAGGUUCUGCACAUGAUUAACAUUUUAUUCUUCCUGUAACUUGCUGUAAACCUCAUAUGAACUUGCAAGUUGGCAACAGCAUGGUAAGAGUUGCCAAACUGUAUGAGACAUUUUUUCCAAACAGAAUCACCUUCCUUCAAUGUAGUUUCCUUUCCCUCUCUUCCUCUUUUCUCCUUCUGACCCCCAGUAACUAGUUGGUUGUUUCAUUGGUACUAGGGACCUCAAAAGCUGUGAUCCUAGACUUUAAAAUACUCCAUUAAGAGGUUUUUCGAAUUUUCAUCUCUAGCCUUGCUCUUUUUGCUGAGAAAUACUGCAGAAAAUAUACCAGAUAUUGCAAUCCUGUCAACCAUGAUGCAGACUGAGGUCUGUUGGUCCCAGAAGUAUAGGUGUUGCUCAUAGUACCCAGACACUUUCAAUCAUGGCUCUAUGUGCCAUAUUAGCAGGUAACAUUGGAGGUUCAAAGUCCAAAGAAUCAGUCUGGUUGGCCUCUUGGUCUUGCAGGGAGCUUUUCAGCUCUCAGGAUUGUGAGCCACAUGCAUCAUCUGGAACAACAGCCUUACUCAAAUUUUGUGAACAUACUCAGUGGAAUGUCCCAAAGUCCUUACUAUAGGCCAUAAUUUAUACAUCCACUGUGGGAUUUUUAAUACUUCAGACAAAGGGUCAGCCUUGUACAGAACUUGAAAAUGAAAGCCUGAUGAGUUUUUCCACAAAUAGUCAGCUCUUUUUAUUUAAGAUAAUAAGAUGAGAUUUUCCCACAAAGCUCUUUCAGACAGUAGUUAACCUAGAUAUAGGUAAAACAAAGAACAGGAGCCGAGUUUGUUAAAAUCCCACAGGUCUACUGUCAACAUUGCCUCCUACUAUACUAUUUGGGGAUCGUCUCUGAUUUAUGAUUAAUGAAAACAAGCUUGUGCCUUCAGCCUUUGUUUUUUCAGGGCUUUUUUUAUCUGUUAGGAGGAAGAAGCAUGGUUUGGCCAAAUCACUUCCUUGUUAACAUGCUUUCAUUCAUGUAUUGAACUUGUUCCCAUUACAUCCAGCAGGUGAAAAAUGAAUGCACAUGCACAGCAGCAUGAUGUGAAAUCUCUACAGCAUACGGAAACAGCUAGACAUUUCAAUUCAUUGCUGAUAAAUUUGUUUCUUUGAAAACAUGGAACGUACUUCAAAAAUAUCAAUGUGAUGCCUCAGUGAACAUCCCUUUACUGAAAACCAGAGCAACAAUACAAUUCCGGUUACAAACAAAUGGCCUGACAAAGUCCAAAUACAGAUGGUCGAGGCCCUGUUCUGCCUUCAGAUUCUCAAGAGUGAUUGCUGUGGAAGGCUCCCCAUGCACUCCUGGGAAUAAUUGGCCUUUAAUUUAUAAAACCUUUAGGUCCAUUUUAUUCUUAUGAUGAAAGCUCUCCCCUUUUCCUGCUACCAACCCAAUUUGCUAUCUACCAGAUUACAUUUUGCUCAGAAAAGAGAACUCUAUCUGCAUUACUAGAAAUCAGGGGAAGAAAGUGAAACACUGAAAAAUAAACUGGCUUGCUCAAAGCUAUUAGCAGUUGCAAAGAAUACUGACUCUCAGACAUUGAGUUCAAUGUGAUUCAGCUUUUCAAGCCACUCUGUAAGUUGCUUGAUACUCUGGAGAUUGUACACCAAUGAUAUAGAAAGCAAAGGGAAAAAACACUGUGACAUAAAAUAGAAGCUUCAGAAAGUCAUAGAACAGGUUAUCUAUGGAAGGAUUUAAAGACAUGACUGGUGACAGAUAUGAGUAGCAACAGAAAAAGAAGAUAACGAAAGGUAAGAGAAGAAAUAUCUUCAGCACCAUUAAGUAACGGGGAGAAUUUUAUUUGUUCUGCAAAACCAAGCACUCAUAAAUCAGGAGAUGACACGCAUCAGAAUUUAGGUGAGGCAUACCUGUCAACUUGAAUUUUGAGGUACUAAAUAUAGGAAAAUGAUUGAAGUUGCUGUAGUUGUUGUAUUGCUAUACCUCUAUUUGUCAUCCUGGAGUUAAAAUUAGCACUGAAAGACCUUGUUUACAGUUCUCCUUUCUUUCAUUUUGUUUCUGGUUCAUCAGGGUUUUAUGUGCCAAAUGCCAUAAAUAAUGACUGACUCCAAGCCACAACUUCAUUUCCUAGUUUCCCUGGAGUCCAGAACUAGGACUGGAGCAUUUUCUUCUAGGACUGGAGAAGUUGUUAGGUUAGAAAACUGGUCAAUACUUUUCAUGCCUUCUGAGACUCCCAUUGCUUGACCAAAGGCCUUGGAAGGCUUAAUCUGAGUAUGGUGGCAGCCUCAGCCAAGCUCCUGGGAAGUGGUGGCCAUGUUCCUUUUCCACAGACCUCCAGGAGCAGCUAGGCAGUACAAUCCUCUCUGAGCUGGAGUCCCACCACUGCAAACAUGGCUAGAGGGAACUAACUCUUCUGAUGAGGGUUUUUGGCUCCUCUUUAAGUCAGUGAGUCUUGUGUGGAUGAGCCUCUUCCUCUAUGCCUAGGCAUUCUGAAAAACAAAAAACAGAUGACUGACGGUAACUUUGCAUGGGGUAUCAAUAAGAUAAUUUCCAAACAUUUUAGAGUAUGAAGACUUCAGCCAUACAAAUUUUCAUUAGUUUACAUACACAAACUGAUAGAAAAAAAGUAGUAGUUACAUUGGAAUGCUUAGUCAUACUUUCAUGUAAGAUCUUGUAUCUCAACAAAAAGAGGAAAAUUGGCAUUCUUGUUUGAAUGGAUCCCUUUUAUGCUUCAGAAUGUAGAAUCAUUAUUAAUAAUUAUGUGAUAUAUAAAACACCGCAUUAUGGAAAAAUGAUGGGAACACUACAGUUACGACAAAAUUCAGCUCUGUUCUGUAAGGAAGGAACCUACAUCUGUACAGGUUACUGUGAAAAGAAUAAAAUUCAAAUGACAGCAAACUGGACAAAAAUUAAAAGGUGUUUUACUAAUACUUAUGAAAAUAUCAGUGUACACUAAAUAUAAGGUGAAUGGAUCCAGAAGUAUUUGUGAAGUAAGCAGCAAUUUUAAAAAGUGUGUUGGGAAAGAAUAUAUGUAACAUUUCUUUCAUACUUUCAGUACAAUUUCACUUCACAUAGAAUCAUAGAAUCAUAGAAUGGCCUGGGUUGAAAAGGACCACAAUGAUCAUCGAGUUUCAACCCCCCUGCUAUGUGCAGGGUCACCAACCACCAGACCAGGCUGCCCAGAUCCACAUCCAGCCUGGCCUUGAAUGCAUCCAGGGAUGGGGCAUCCACAACUUCUUUGGGCAGCCUGUUCCAGUGUGUCACCAACCUCUGUGUGAAAAUCUUCCUCCUAAUAUCUAACCUAAACCUCCCCUGUCCCAGUUUAAAACCAUUCCCCCUUUUCCUAUCACUAUCCACCUUUGUAAACAGCUGUUCCCCCUCCUGUUCAUAUGCUCCCUUCAAGUACUGGAAGGCCACUCUUAGGUCACCCUGGAGCCUUCUCUUCUCCAAGCUAAACAAGUCCAGUUCCCUCAACCUUUCCUCAUAGGAUGGGUGCUCCAGCCCUCUGAUCAUCGUAGUGGCCCUCCUCUGGAACCACUCCAAGAGCUCCACAUCCUUCCUGUACUGGGGGCCCCAGGCCUGGACGCAGUACUCCAGAUGGGGCCUCACAAGAGCCAAGUAGAGGGGGACAAUCACCUCCCUCUCUCUUCUGGGCACUCAUUUUUUAAUUCAGCUCAGAACACAGUUGGCCUUCCAGGCUGCAAGCGCACACUGCUGGCUCAUGUCCAGCUUCUCGUCCACCAGGACCCCCAAGUCCUUCCCCGCAGAGCUGGUCUCAAGGAGUACUUCCCCAGUUUGUAUAAGUAACUGGGAUUUCCCCAACCCAAGUGCAGCACCCUGCAUUUGGCCUUAUUGAACCUCAUCAGGUUUUCAUGGGCCCACUUCUGCAGCCUGUCCAAGUCCCUCUGGAUGGCCUGCCUUUGUUCCAAUGUAUCGACUGCACUGCUCAGCUUGGUGUCAUCUGCAAACUUGCUGAGGGUGCUCUCGAUGCCAUCAUCUAUGUCAUUGAUGAAGAUGUUGAAGAGCACUGGUCCCAGGACCAACCCCUGAGGGACACCGCUUGUGACCAGCCUCCACCCUGAUACAGAACCAUUAAAUACAACCCUUUGGCUGCAUCCAUCCAGCCAAUUCCUAAUCCAUCAAACAGUCCGUCCUUCAAAUCCACACCUCUCCAAUUUAGCGAGAAGGAUGUGGUAAGGGACCAUGUCAGAGGCUUUGCAGAAGUCCAGGUAGAUGACAUUCAUCGUCUUUCCCCCAUCCACUGAAGCCAUAACUCCAUCAUAGAAGGUCACCAGAUUGGUCAGGCAAUAUCUGCACUUCUGCCCUUGGUGAAGCCGUGCUGGCUGUCUUGAAUUACCUCUUUAUCUCAUAUGUGUCUUAGCAUAGCCUCUAGGAGGAUCUGCUCCAUGAUCUUUCCAGGCACAGAGGUGAAGCUCACCAGCCUGUAGUUCCCUGGGUCUUCCUUUCUCCCUUUCGUAAAAGUGGGAGUAAUGUUUCCUUUUUUCCAGUCACCGGGGAUUUCAUCAGACAGCCAUGAUUUUUCAAAUAUGACGGAGAGCAGCUCGGCAACCACAUCAACCAUCUCUUUCAGAAUUCUAAGAUGGAUAUCAUCCGGCCCCAUGGACUUAUACAAGUUCAGUUUCAUGAAGAGGACUUGGACGUGUUCCACCAUUACAGUGGGACAGAAACCACUCCCCACACCUUCACCUAGAUGCUCGUGGUCUUGGCAGACCCUGACCACUCAUGAAGACUGAGGCAAAGCACUCACUGAGUACCUCAGCUUUUUCUAUGUCUGAGGAAGCCAGCUCCCUAUUACCUUUCAUCAGAGGGGGAACACUCUCCUUGGCCUGUCUCCUCCGGCCUUUGUACCUGUAGAACCCCUUUGUGUUAUCUUUCACAUACCUUGCCAAGUUCAGCUCCAUCUGCACCUUGGCUUUCCUAAUCCAAUCUCUACACAAAUGGACAACAGCCCUGUAUUCCUCCCAGGAUACACAACCCUACUUCCACUUCUGUACAUUUUCCUCUUUUCUCUCAGUUUAAGCUGCAGGUCCUUGCACAGCCAUGAUGGUCACCUGCCUCCCCUGCUCGACUUCUUCUGCUGGGGGAUGGAAAGCCGUUGCACUCUCAGAAGGGUGUCCUUAAAGAGCUGCCAGCUUUGUUCUGUACCCAUGCCCUUAAGGACAGUUUCCCAGGGGAUCCCACUCAGCAGUUCCUUGAGCAGUUGGAAGUUUGCUCUCCUAGCUCUGCUUUUUGCCAUUCUUCAAGAUCACAAACUCCACCAAGGCAUGGUCACUACAGCCCAGGCUGCCUCUAAUCUUAACCUCUCUAAUGCUCUCCUCUGCAUUGAUGAGCAACAGGUCCAGUAAGGCUUCACCUCAGGUUGGUCCAUCUAUUACCUGGACAAGGAAGUUGUCCUCAACUCAAGGAAUCUCCUGGAUUGUCUGCCACCUGCUAUGCCAUUGAUUUCUAAUUCUACAAGCAAAAUAUGACAACAAAUGUUAACAGAAACUACAUUUUGUGGAACUGUAAUUGUAAACAUAAAAACAAAACAGAACAAAACAAAAACACUCCAAAUCAAUGUUUGUAAGAGUGGUAAUGGUAUUCUGUUCUCCGAAUGCUAUCUGUUAAAAUAAAUAAAUAAAUAAAUAAAAUACAAGUUUGUCCUUUACCAUGAAAACACUUUUAAGAAUUAUCCCUAGGAAAACUGGAUGUGAAUGAAUAAGCAGGGAAAAAGAAUAAAUACAAAAACAAAAGGAAUAUCUGCUAAAACUGCGCUACUAGAUAGUUUUAUGGCAGAAUUAUCUAGGUAUUAGUUGCUCUAUCACAAAAUAUGUUCCUGCUGCAACCACAAAAUUUAACACAUUAAUAAAAACAACCAAUCGAUGUAACAGCAGCAGUUGGUUAUCUGUAAAGUUCAACACUUAAUCAUAAUUAAGUCAGGAAAAGCUGACAUAUCCAAGUAUAAGAAAUCAUACAAAGACAACGUAACAAGUAGGCAGUCAUUCCUAAAUCAUCAAUUUGGUCAAGUCUGGCAUUGACUUCAAUUACUUCUCUUUAAGUUUUCUUGAAAAAAAUGAUAAAUCCCUUUUCCAUACAGCUUUUCCAGUUAUCAAAUUAAGAUUUAAGCUAAAUCCAUGAGUGCAAUGAUAGUUUACUUACAUUAAACCACAUAAAAUUCACAAUGAGGAAGUGUUUGUGCAGAUAACCACUUGACUAUGAAACACUAAAUACAUUAAUAAAACUGGUACAUUUUCUUUCCCAUGAAAUAUUAUACUGCUAUCAUAACAAGUUCUUGGUUGGUAGGUGGCUAUAAAGAAAACAGAAAAUGUACAGCCUUGUAUACAGCUUCUUUUCCUAGGGCACCAGGUGCUUUAAAUGCCACCAGAAGGAUGCUCUAGGCAAUGCCAUGCUGUCCAACAUGGCUUGGCAUAGAUUAGCUCAAAGCCUUUUUGUCUUUGCAGACUUUGAUUAAGGGCCACUGUUAGAACUCCUAUGGGUUUUUACUCGAUCCAGUGUAGCAUGGGGAGUGUUUUUUUUCUUUAUCACAGUUGCCAAAAAUAUGCCAGUUAAGAUAAUUACAUUUCAAUUUAAAUUGGUAAUUUAAUGGAAAUUUUAAACCAUGAUGUAGGGCAGGAUACGUACUUCCAGUCCUAACCCACAACAAUAGAUUUUGUCUGUUGCAGAUAAUUUAAUAGCUCAGACCUAUAUUUUUGGCUCUCCAUGAGAACUGACAGUUUUAGGACUCUCCAUAGUUUUACAGGAUUUUCUUCAAUCUGUUUUAAGUGUUGCCUUCAUUUUUAAGAAGCAGAGCAACCAAAGGAUAUGAAUGGUUUUUUGUUUGUUUUAACAUAGCAGUAUCACCUGUCUGCUAUUACCUACUUCAUUAACUGUCUUUGAGUCAUAAUAAAUGAAAAGA